rnacentral:lncRNA from 10 species
UGGUUAUAUCUUUUUUUUUUGAGAUUUUGUUUUCAUGUUGGGUGGGUAGUUUUUCUAAGAAUAAGAAAUCCCAAUGACAACAAAAUGUCAUUGUUUUUAAGAGAAGGAGAUAAAUACAUUUUAAACUGUUAUAUUUAUUUAUUUUCAAAAAAUGCUGGAGGCAUCAUGUUAGCAAUUGCAGGGGAUAACAUGAAUAUGACAAAGCUGCUCUCAAAAAACUUACCACUUUGUAGAAGGGAAAGCUAAGUGCCUAUUCCAAGCAAAAUAUGAUAUGAUACAUGCCUUUAGAGAGGAGUAAAUUUUAAUGAGGCUUCAAAGAGCUGGAAGAAGAGGUCAAGGUUCAAAGAGCCUAAGAUAAGGCACAGAACUGGGGUUCUGGUACAAUGCAUUACAGCAUGGCCAAUUUUCAAAGGCCAGCUGUUCCCAGUCAAACGAAGAUGAAGCUGAGGGCAGGUGCAAUCAAUGGGAAAAUCAGGCCACCCUCUCCUAUUUUCCCAUAGAUGCAGUUUCAUGAUCAAUAGUUUUAUAAUCUCAUUUUGGGUAGCAAAAUGAAAAUGAAUCUGAAGCAUUCUUUCUAGUUUAUUUCACACUAAUAAAAUCCAACCUGAAGGAUUUUAUAUGUUGGCUCUAUGGCCGUUAGUAUUUGAUUAAGGUGUUUAGCCUCAUUAGUAAUCAAAGGAAUGAAAACUAGAAUAAAAAUUCAGUCAUUGUUUUUGGUUUAUCAAAUUGAUAAAGACUUAAAAUGGCCACCAAGCAUUGGGGAGGUUAGGAGUGAUAGGCUCUCUCCUUCUAUCUAUGGAAUAUUCCUUGGCUCACCAUGGCUGGAGAACAAUCCACAUCCAAUAGCUCAUCAAGUCUACUUCCAGGAAUGUAUUCCAGAGGAAUAGUAUGGACCUAUGCAAAAACUUGUGUACAAAAUUAUUCCUCAGAGCUUUGCUUAUUAUUGGGAAGAAUGAGUAAAGAAAUAAAUGCCCGGCCAGGCGCGGUGGCUCAUGCCUGUAAUCUCAGCACUUUGGGAGCCAAGGCGGGUAGAUCACCUGAAGUCAGGAGUUCGAGACCAGACUGGCCAACAUGGUGAAACCCCUUCUCUACUAAAAAUACAAAAAUUAGCUGGGCGUGGUGGCAGGAAUCUGUAAUCCCAGCUACUCAGGAGGCUGAGGCAGGAGAAUCUCUUGAACCUGGGAGGUGGAAGUUGCAGUGGGCCGAGAUUGUGUCAUUGCACUGCAGCCUGGGUGACAAGAGCGAAACUUCGUCUAAAAAAAAAAGAAAAAAAAAAAAGAAAGAAAGAAAUGCCCCGAAACAGGUUAAUAAAUUUAAAAGUAUUAUGCCAGGAAGGGAACAGUAGCAGUCCACUAUGCCUAGAAACUAAGCCUAGUAACUUAGAAAAAAAAAUCUUCCAAGUGUUUUAGGUAAGUUAGUAUUAAUAAUUCUACCCAAGGUCAAUCCCCUCCCCUCCAUUUCCUCCUCUUCAGAUAUUCUGUGCUUCUGCCAAAUAGGACAACUUGCUAUUUGUGUCCUGAACUGACCUUAUACACUUUCUUGCCUCUCUGCCUUUGCUCGUGCUUUCCCACUGUCUCAAUGGCUUUCCUUAAUCUCUGAGGUCUCACCUCUUCAAGACCCAAUUGUGUAAGCCACCUUACAUAAUGUUAUUAUGAUGUCCCCCUUCCUCAUCCAGCCAGAAGGAUUUACUUCCUUCUCUGUAUGCUCAUAGCAAUUUGUUCAUUUUCUAUUCUUCUCACCCUUGUCCUGUGUUAGAGUUACCGAAAUAUAUGUAUAUGUGUGUGUAUAUAUUUUUUGUCUUGUUUUGUUCCUGUUAGAUUUUGAACAACUUGAGGGCAGGGGCCAAUCUUGUUCAGAUUUAUACCCCCCAGAGUUAUAAAGCAUGCUGUGAAAAUGAUUGUUGACUGAAUAAGCGAGUGAGUGAAUGCAAAAGUACACUUGGAGCCAAAUGCUUAUAUUCUCUGCAGACAUGGAAUAAACUUGACAAGUGCUAAAGAUGCUCUUUGAUUUUUGUGUGGCAUGAGACCUCAGGCUGAAACUUCUCAUCUGAGCCAUUGAAGGGAGCCUCUCAUCUCUCCACCGAGAGGGGAGACCAGAAUGCUCUGUUUCUGGCAGGAAUCUGACACCACUUACUCCUUGGGUAGAAACUCCCCCAAGUCUGAACUAUGUGAUUGCCUGAGCCCUGCUUCUUGUUCAUUAAGACUGCUCCUCUGAAACGGAAUUGAUGAAUUUUUAGUGGCUAUUAGAAGCAUUUGGGAUCCAUAGGCAUCAGGGUUUGAUGCAUGGCCCUCAUCUCUGUGGGCUCCUGUGCAAUGAUUCUCAUCUGUCUUAGUUAGAAAGUGAAUUAAUCUUGACCUUGGCCUCAGGGGUGUGGUUCUCUGCCCUCUUACACAUCUUCAAUUCGCUUCUUUAUCAGAAGCACUUGUUUUAGGCCCAGGCUCCCCCAAUUUUAAUGACAUUUAGACAUUUGUCUUUAAGUUACAUUGCUUUGAUUUUAAUCAAAAUCUAUAUUUCUAGUAUUAUAUGUUUCCAGAAAGUUCUCAUUCUGGAUUGUAAUUUAAUUACAUGGAUCAUUAAAGCUUUGAAGGAUGCUAAUGGGCAGAAAAAAGAGACUUAACAAAACGAAAGUUAUUAUUAGGAAUUACAAAUCACUUAACAUUUCAACAUCACUCGUCGGAUGUGGGCAUUUUGUUGAAAGAGACCUUGUUUUGAACAGUGACAGUGCAGAAGACCUAUGGAAGAAACAAGCUUCCAACUUGAUUUCUAUUGUUAUGCAUGCAUAGCAAAUUAUUAAUUCUAUUCUAAUAGGGUAAUAGAUUUAGAAAUACUAUUAGCAGAAAACUUGAUGUAUUAGGCAAUACUACAUACCACAUUAGUCUAACCGCUCAACUGUAAUUUUUCAUCCAUACUUUCUUGGGAUGUAAAUAAAAUUGAUAUUAUACAAUGAAAAUAAAAUUGCCCACUAGUCUUGCUUAUUCUCUUGG